rnacentral:misc_RNA from 1 species
UACACCCCCUGAGGAGUUUAAGUGCCCCAUAUCUAUGAGAUUGAUGUAUGAUCCUGUUGUCAUUGCUUCUGGACAAACAUUUGAAAGGAUGUGGAUACAAAAGUGGUUUGAUGAUGGUAAUAACGCGAUGAUGGUAAUGAUACAUGUCCAAAAACAAAAGUAAAAUUGGCCCAUCGUUCAUUUAUUCCAAACACAGCCAUGAAAGACUUGAUAUCAAAGUGGUGUGAAAAGUACGGAGUCACCAUUCCUGAUCCAAGUAUGAAAGCAUUUCACUUAUUGGACAUAUCUUCUACAUCCAUUGCUAGCUUAGGCAGUUCUAUGAAUGAUCUACACCUUCCACUGGA